UGAAGGGCAGAUGGAGAAGAGCCAGGAGCCAACCUGAAUGUGCACAGACCCAUGAAAAGAGAGAACAGCUGCCUCCUUGGGAGAACAUCAGAGAAACCUUAGCAAUGUGCCUCUACCCUACACCUAACCCAUUCUAGUGUGUCCUGGAUAAUGGACAGGAGGAUGUAAGGGAAAUGUAGGAUAGAGGAGUGGACAAUUGUAGAUGUUUCCAGAUAGGCUUAUCUCAAAUUGCAGUGACUCUGCAAAUAUUCUUAACAAGAACCAGAUUUCCCAGAACUCUGAUAUUUCCUUCCCUAAGCAAUAAGAUGCCCCUUUGGGCCCUGACACAAUCAUGGUUGUUAUUUGUUUGUUUGUUUUUCUACUCAGGAAGCAGGGGAGGCCUGAGAACAUAUGCGGAAUGUCUUUCCUAGAAUUAGGAUGCCCCAAUUUCAAGUAUAUCACAUGCAGCCUGAUAAGUCCUGUCUGCAGCCACCAAGCCUCCACCCUCUCAAUGCUGUUGUCAUCCAGGGCCUUAACCCCUGGUCACAAAGAUGGAAGAGGUAGUGACACUGUGAUGUGAAGACACUUUCCAUCAUGAAAUUAUUAAUUGGUGCCAACAUAAGGUGAACUCCGACUAGCAGCUUUUCUAUUGCAAUGAUAGACAAUUUAUAUGAAAAAGAGAUGGUAAUUCUGAUAGUUCUGAUAAUUCUACAACCACAGAUCUUCACCUGAUAACCUUGACAUGUGGCUGUCCCCUAGGUUUUAGGAGCUUGGAUUCCUCUAGGCUGAGUUGUACUAUUCCUCUUCUCUGAACACAUGUGUCCUUGGUUAGUUCAUUCAUAUUGACUCUCGGGGCUUCUCCAAUCCCUCAAGCCUUCCCACCCUACUAUCCAGACAAUGAGAAGUGUGUCACAACUAAUGCAGCACAAUUUGUAAAAUAAUUGCUGGAUACUAACACUGCAGUUCAAUUGUAAGAUAUAAUAGAAGGGUAAGUGUUUAAGAUUCCAGAAGCUCUGUUCAAUUUUGCAUUUACUGUUAGAUAUUCACACUCAGGUUUUCAGGAAUUAGAGUGUUCUUCACCCAUUUUGGUUAAGAUAUCAGAACUUACUUUCAACAUAUUGGUGACCAGGAUCUACAGAGAACCCUGGUGAAGGCUUGAUCCGUAAUGCAUAACGAAGAUUGAUAACUGCAAAAAGGGAACUGGUCAUUGGCCUUCAGAUAAAAUGAAUUCUCCCCACUUUGUGUUCAGAGAAUUAUUUUAUCCCUUUAGUCUAGAGUUUGUCAGCUAGUUCAAUGCACUUCUACGAUAAAGCUGGGUCAAUUACCCUAGAGGACUGGGAGCAUAGAGGACCUGAUAGAAAGGAAAUACCCAAAGAGAAGGAUAAAUCAAGAGGUCACUAAUAUUUGUUUUGAGUUUCCUUUGAGGCUUCCGAGUAGAAAUGUCCAGCAGAGGAUGGGCCUAGAGAUGUAGUGAGAGACCUAAUCCCCCAAGCCCUGAAUAUGUGAGUGAGAACACUUGUAUGAAUUACACAGUCUAUAAAUAUGGUAAAGCACCUUUGUGCUCUGUUUUAACUUAUAAUAAUUGAUUUCUAAGAAUGUAGGCGUUUGUGGAGGCCAUGAUGUCACUGUGGGAACUGCCAUGAGAGGACAAGGACGUCCCUCCUCCUCUGCUCCUGCUCACAGUGACCCUGAUUGGGCAAAACUCCCAUCCUGCCCUGACCCUGCCAUAGUCACCAGGCUCCUCUGCUGGGUGGCCCUCUGUCUCCUGGGAGCAGAACUCACAGAAGCUGGAGUUGCCCAGUCCCCCAGAUAUAAGAUCACAGAGAAAAGGCAGGCUGUGGCUUUUUGGUGUGAUCCUGUAUCUGGCCAUGCUGGCCUUUACUGGUACCAGCAGAUUCUGGGACAGGGCCAAAGCUUCUGAUUCAAUAUCACAAUGAGGAUAACUCACAGUUGCUUAAGGAUCGAUUUUCUGCAAAGAGACUCAAAGGAAUAGAAUCCACUCUCAAGAUCCAGCCUGCAGAGCUUGGAGACUCAGCCAUGUAUCUCUGUGCCAACAGCUUAGCCACAGCAUUGCAGAGACACUUCCCUCCUGUGCAGAAAACUGCAGGGUUCCUCUCCUCUAUCAGCUCACAGCAGCCUUUCCUUAUUCCUCAUCUUCCCAGGGAAGAAGCAAGUUUUCAGAUACAGUUAGGAUUCAUAUCAUGGGAGAAAAUGAACUAUUUCUUAAAACAUGAAGACGAUAAUUCUUGUUUUUAUGUCUCAGGGAUUUGAAACACUUUUCAGGGACAACUCAAGAAAUCUAAAGUGACUCAUCAGAGACUUAGUCCUCAGGGGUAGUGAUGGUUUCUCUGUCAUAAAAGUAUGUGCCCAUGAAACACAUGCAAUAUACUUAAUAAUAUAGAUGGUGAUGGCACCAAGUAAUGAACAGCAGGCCCCUCUCUGUAAUUGUCAGCAUGUGAAUGACCUGGUUGUUAUCCUUGGUGACAACCUGGCUCUCUAGCAAAGUCUCAAUACGCAGUAUGUGUUCGAAAAUCUUUUCCCUUCUGUUUUAUUUUUGGUAAAGUAUGGUAAUAGUAAUGUUGUUAAUGAUAGUGAUUAUAAUUUCAGCUAUGUUAUUCAGCCCUUUUUCAAAUUCAGAGAAAUGCACAUGAAUCGAUACCUUGGCACCCAGUCCCAAAUCUUAGCUCCAAGUGAAUUCUCCUUCUCUUGAACUCUCUAACUCUUCUAUGUAAUCAUCCCAGCCCAAGAAUAUAUAUAGACCUGGACCAGUCAAUUCAGAGUCUAUUGAGGACAUUUCUGCUUGUCUGCUUGUAUAUUAAAAGCUCCUUAGUGCAUUGAAAUAUUCCUUGUAAGAACUUCUGAAGCAAUCAGUUGCCCUGAUCAAUUGCCCCCUCUGAUAAUACACUCUGUGUGUCUAGCUCCAUAUUCACUACUCUACUUCUGUCAAAAUGCUCUAAUAUUAGAAAUCUUUCUGAAGUGUUGGUUAGAAUUACUUAAAAAGCAGUUUGCUGAAUAUUGCCUGAAAGCAUUGUCACUGUCCAUUAGCCCCUCCUGAAUUCCUCCCCCUCCUUAUCCAAUCUAACACCUGAUGGCAGUCAGACUUUAUGCUCAUUUGCUCAUUUGCUCAUUGCACACCUCCCUCUUUCCUUUCCUCCACUGAUAAAAACCUCACCAAUGGGAUGGAUGAAAAACCACCACUCACCGUCUCCUUGUCAAAAUUUCUUUUUUUUUCUUUUUCCAAUCUGCUAUGUUACUUAUAGUUAGGAACUCCCUCAUAACAUUUCCUGAGCUCACUUUUUAUUAUUUGAACAUGGGACACAGAGUUGUUUCAGAGUGUGUCUGAUCAUUUUCACCUCUGAGAUCUUCGUGGGCUGUUUUGGUUGAUUUUCUUUUUGUGCUACCUCUCAGUCAGGGUGCUUGAUUUUUCAUGGUGUUUGUAUUUCUCCCUACGAGUCUAAUAACGUUUGACACUGUGCCAAACACUAUGGUUGUAGAAAUAAUUUUGGGUGUAGGAUGGACCAUAUUUUUCUCCAGAGAUAAUUUUUCUGUGCUUCUGAAAGUGCCUGUAGGUAUAAACAAUCAGGCUCGCUGCAUCACAAUUUAAGGCUUGAGGUGUCCUGGAGCACCUGGAGAACAGGUUUGUCUCCGGCUCAUUGUUACAUUGGAAUUCAGCAAUGACACAUUCCAUAUGUUCUGGCCUUUCCUUUACCCCGAUGGCCUGUGAGUCAGCUUCCUGGGUGCUGAGUCAGGAUCCGCAAAUGCCCUCCAGCGCAGGAGGACUGCCAUGCUCACCUCCCAGGGCUCUUGCCUUCCCCAUCAUUCCAGGCAAGUUAUUCCUUAUUAUUUCUUUAGGACUUUAAUUAACUGAAGUUUUUAAUGUUGUUUUUGAUAUUUUUUCCAACUGUGUAGAUAACAACAGAGUAAGUGCCAUUAUCCUUAAUUAUUGGGAUUAAGGUGAAAAUAACUUUACUUGGAAUUUUAAUUUUCCUUUAAUUGUAAUGUUAGAUUCUUAGUCUGUGAUUUGUCUGAUAUUUAACAUAAAUGGUAUAGAGAUGUUAAACUCUGAUUUCAAUCAAAUACUUAUUUUUUAAAAACUUAAAGGACAUUCAUAAUCAAAUUGGGACAUACCUUUGUUUGGGGCAUGAAAUUAAUAGAGUAUUCUUAUAUUGUUAUUUAUUUCUAUCACAUAACCUCUGUGUUCCAUAGGACCAUAUGGCAAGAUGGAAAACAGAAUAAAGAGAUUAGGUCAGAUUAGUCUUCAAAUUAAUUUAAUUGCUUCACUGUGGGGGUGCAUUUGUGCUCUUUUAUGAAAAUUCCAGAGGGGCAGUGGUCAAAAUUUCAGGGAGUAACUGAUAUGUGGCUAUUGUUUUACCCCAUUUAAAGCCAAUUUCCUGGGCAACAGUUUGUUCCACAUACCCCAUUUUGUGGGGCUCCCCUAAAGUAGUAAUCCUGAUUUAAUCUUCCUAUUCCUUGCCAAAUUUUGUCUAUGGGAAGGGAAAUCAGUUACGGUAUUUGCUCUUUUCAUUUUACUUUAGUCUGUCCUUAUUUUCCUGUUUUUCUCCUGGUUCCCUAGAGAAAAGCUAGAUUCUUUGGUGCUUCUUCAACAUGAGCUAAGAUCAGUGGGGAACUUUCUCUUCCACACAGGGUUGGCUGGCAGUUUGGAGGAGAUAGAGAAUGGGUUAAAUUCGGAUUCUGCAUCAUGUUUCACACUGAGACUUGCUGCUUAUCAGUGUUAAAGCUGACAUUAUGUCUCCACCUUUCUGACUUCACCAUCAAUGUCUCAGGUGUUUCUAUCCUACCCCACAGCACCAAUAUUAUUUCUUGGCCUUCUAACACCCACUAAUCAUAAUGUCCUGUAUCCCCUGUACUCAGUGAAACAAAGCACAAGUCCCUGUGUCCUGGCAAAAGAAAGCACAUUGGUGAUGUUCUGGCCUACUGGCCACUAGGAGGCACUGUGGCUUCAUUGUCAUCCAAAGUCUAUGGGGAGGAGCUGAGACUGCUCUCUGGAAGAAGAUCGUUAAGGAUAACCCUGAGGCUGGACCUAGAUUCAGGAAGUUGGUUUUCAGAUGUCUUGAAUGAUGACUUGGAAUAAAGGAAUUAGUAACCAACCCUUUCUGGACCCAAACCAGCCCAGGCCAACCCUACCUUCUCUGUUGAAUGUAGAGAGUAGAACUGCAAGAAAUGGAGGUGCUAGCCUGGACCACAUCAGAAGGAAGGACCCUGUCCCCCGGGAGCUGACGAUCACAGUGACGCCACCAGCAUAUCCACUUAAGAGGCAUAGUCCAGUGUGACCCCUGGAAGAAGAUGAGUCCUGGGUAGACAUAAGAAGAUGUUUUUGUCUAGGCUUCCUUUGGCCUGAUUUUAAAUUCCUUCCAUGUGAUCAUGCACCUGUCUCUACCUGUAUUGUGUAUCUGGCUUCUGCCUCUCACCCAUCAGUCCCAUGGCUACUAUAAGGUACUCAAUUUUUAUUGACACAAAUUACCACUAACUUGGUGGCUUGCAACAACAAAAAAUUAUCUUACAGUUCUGGAGGUCAGAAGUUCAAAACCCAGUAAAAAUCAAAAUCAACACCUUGGGAAAGCUGCAUUCCUUCUCAAGACUCUAGGAGAGAACUGUUCUUCUCUCCUUUUCAGCUUCUAGGACAGGCUUCUAGGUAAGGUAUGUUUUGGAAAAGGUACUAUGAAUUGAUAAUAUCAAAACCAAUCUACAUGGAGCCUCUGCAAAUGUACAUCUGUAUCUCAGAUCAAUUAUAGUUGAGUUCAGUUCUGCCUGAUUCAUCUCCCAGAGGUGCAGCCUCUUCUUAAAGAACUUGGGGGUGGUGGCCCAUUCAGUGAUGUCACUGACAGAUGCAUCCUGUGGGGAUAAAAUGUCACAAAAUUCACUUCUUUGCUCGUACUCACAGAGGCCCUGGUCUAGAAUGUUCCACAUCUGCUCUCACUCUGCCAUGGGCUCCUGGACCCUCUGCUGUGUGUCCCUUUGUAUCCUAGUAGCAAAGCACACCGAUGCUGGAGUUAUCCAGUCACCCCAGCACAAGGUGACAGAGAUGGGACAAGAAGCGACUCUGAGAUGUGAACCAAUUUCAGGUCACACCCAGCUUUUCUGGUACAGACAGACCAUGAUGCAGGGACUGGAGUUGCUAAUUUACUUUAACAACAAGGAUCCGAUAGAUGAUUCAGGGAUGCCCAAGGAUCGAUUCUCAGCUCAGAUGCCUAAUGCAUCAUUCUCCAUUCUGAAGAUCCAGCCCUCAGAACCCAGGGACUCAGCUGUGUACUUCUGUGCCAGCAGUUUAGCCACAGCGCUGCAGAAUCGCCCCUUUCCUGUGCAGAAACCCUGCCGGUGCCCCUUCCCCUUCUAGCUCCCAGCAGUCCUAAGCAAAGUCUUUCCUGUUCCUCCUUCCCCAUGAGAAAAAAGUGGUUUUGGAGUGUGACAAAGACAAAAUGAGAAGGUAUCAACAUAAGAAACCUUAUGUAGGAAAUAGGUUUGGAGGAUUCCUCAAAAAUUAUUCCUGCUCAAAACGCACAGGAGUAAGAUAAACCUUGGCUACUCAUACUGUAGAUUUCCCUGGCUUCCUGCAUUUGCCAUCCCAUGGGAAUGGUGGGUGCUCCCGAGAAAGGAGCUUCCCUUUCUCAACCUUGCCCUUGCCCUCAACGUUUCUCAUCUGGUCUGCCAGUGUCUGCUGCUGUGUCUGCUGGUGUGUUCCUCUGCAAUCUCGACAUCCAGCCUCUUGUGUCUGAUUCUGCUUAAGGUCUCCCAUUUAUAUGGGCACAGGAUGGAGGGCGUGGUGGACCAAAAGGCAACUUUUUGAGUGCAAAAACAGAAAUACCUGUCCUCAUUUAGGUCCAUGGGCACAGGCCAGAGGGUGGAGCCCUCACCAGGGACCCUGCCCUUUUCCACCCAGCACUUCCCUUCCCCCCUCUUGAAUCAAAUGUUUUUUACUUGAAUGAGGGAAAUCCUCUCUUGGAAGAUUUCAAGUGGUGGGGAAUGUAAAUUUGAGUAGAAGCAAACCAUAGCUUAACUAUUCUGAAUUUCCUGACCUUCAAAAUAUUGGAAAAAAUAGUAUAAUUUCUAUAAUCUUCAUGGUUGUUUUUUUCCAAAAUGUGUAUCUACUUUAUACCACAGUGAAAACAGAGUAAACAGAACCAUUUGCUGCCUCAUAGAGAAGGAAAGCAUUUAAUAGUGUCUUGAGUCAUUAGAAGGAUUGAACAAUGUGAAGAAGGUGGUAGAAAUAACAGGAGCAAAUAUAUGAACAGGCAUCAAAUUGUGUAAGACUAUUUUGUAAGGGUAUGAAGUAUAUUUGAUAAAGUAACAUUUAUAUUAUUCCGUCGUCAAAAAUAGGAUGAGCUAUGGUCGAAAUGUUUACAAAUUCAAAUGCCCUUCCGAAGCAAAUUUUUCAUCUGGUGAGCAAUGGAGAAUUGUGAAAUGUAUGAAAAUUGAAAAGUUGCUUUAGGAAAACUGUCACUGUUAGAAUAAUUAAAGCUUCUUUCCGGCCUAACUGCGAUACUUAGGAGAAGGAUGUUCCAGGCAAAGGGAAUAGCUUGGUCAGAGGCUCUAAGGCAGAAGCGUGUUUUGUGUAUUUGAGGAAUGGCCAGAAGGCCAGUGUGGUUGUAAAAAAAUAAGCAGGGAAAAGAGGAACAGAGAGGAGGCAAUGAAUAUAACAGGGAGGGGGAUCACCUAGGACCUUGUAGGCCCAUUCAGGCUGUAAGCUGUUCUCUGAGUGAAGUGGGAAGCUGCUGUAUAGUUUAGCAUAAGACUGACAACAUCUAACCUAAAGAAUCACUCUGACUUCUCUGUUGAGAGUAGACUCUGGUUUGGUGGCUACAAUGAGGGAGGGCAAGCUUAGAAGUAGAGGAACCUAGGAGAAGACUAUUACAAUCACAGAAGAUAAAUCGAACAAAUCCCCGGCAGGGGGGUUAGUGCCCUUCCCAACUCUGCCAUUCAUAGGAACCUAUAGGGAGUUGGAUUUAA